AUGUUCUUGCAGUCCUGGGAUAUGUCUCCCGCUGAAUGUGGUGUUGACUCUCCCCCUUCUACCCUGAUGGCCUACUUGUGAUGUGGACCACCCCACUGCGGUGUGACCAGGAGUACCCCUCAGGUUUCCCCGGGAUGUUCUUGAAGUUCUUGAUCCUCUCUUCAGUGUAAAGUGGCAUUGACACUCUCCCUCUAACCUGACAGCCUACAUGUGAUGCGAAAACCCCACUGCUGUGUGACCAGGAGAACCCCUCAGGUUUCUCUUGUAAGUUCUUAAACUCCUGGGACACCUCUACAGCUGAUUGUGGCAUUGACUCUCUCCCCUUCUACCAUGAUGGCCUACUUGUGAUGUGGACCCCCCCACUGAGGUGUAACCAGGAGUACCCCUCAGGUUUCCCUUGUAUGUACUUGAAGACCAUGAACCCCUCUACAGUGAAAAGUGGAGCUGACACCCCCCCUUCUACCAUGACGGCCUACUUGCAAUGUGCCUCCCCCCUGUGUCGUGAUGUGUUGCCCAAUAUUGUGUCCUAUCCCUACUAUUAACACUGUCCUGCCCAAAUUAAAUUUACAUUAGCAGUUAAA